rnacentral:rRNA from 1 species
AGUGAACGCUGGCGGUAGGCCUAACACAUGCAAGUCGAACGGCAGCACAGUAAGAGCUUGCUCUUACGGGUGGCGAGUGGCGGACGGGUGAGGAAUACAUCGGAAUCUACUUUUUCGUGGGGGAUAACGUAGGGAAACUUACGCUAAUACCGCAUACGACCUACGGGUGAAAGCAGGGGAUCUUCGGACCUUGCGCGAUUGAAUGAGCCGAUGUCGGAUUAGCUAGUUGGCGGGGUAAAGGCCCACCAAGGCGACGAUCCGUGGCCGGUCUGAGAGGAUGAUCGGCCACACUGGAGCUGAGACACGGUCCAGACGCCUACGGGAGGCAGCAGAGGGGAAUAUUAGACAAUGGGCGCAAGCCUGGUCCAGCCAUACCGCGUGGGUGGAGAAGACCUUCGGGUUGUAAAGCCCUUUUGUUGGGAAAGAAAAGCAGCAGGUUAAUACCCCGCUGUUCUGACGGUAACCAAAGAAUAAGCACCGGCUAACUUCGUG